AGUAACACGUGGAUAACCUACCUAUAAGACUGGGAUAACUUCGGGAAACCGGAGCUAAUACCGGAUAAUAUUUUGAACCGCAUGGUUCAAAAGUGAAAGACGGUCUUGCUGUCACUUAUAGAUGGAUCCGCGCUGCAUUAGCUAGUUGGUAAGGUAACGGCUUACCAAGGCAACGAUGCAUAGCCGACCUGAGAGGGUGAUCGGCCACACUGGAACUGAGACACGGUCCAGACUCCUACGGGAGGCAGCAGUAGGGAAUCUUCCGCAAUGGGCGAAAGCCUGACGGAGCAACGCCGCGUGAGUGAUGAAGGUCUUCGGAUCGUAAAACUCUGUUAUUAGGGAAGAACAUAUGUGUAAGUAACUGUGCACAUCUUGACGGUACCUAAUCAGAAAGCCACGGCUAACUACGUGCCAGCAGCCGCGGUAAUACGUAGGUGGCAAGCGUUAUCCGGAAUUAUUGGGCGUAAAGCGCGCGUAGGCGGUUUUUUAAGUCUGAUGUGAAAGCCCACGGCUCAACCGUGGAGGGUCAUUGGAAACUGGAAAACUUGAGUGCAGAAGAGGAAAGUGGAAUUCCAUGUGUAGCGGUGAAAUGCGCAGAGAUAUGGAGGAACACCAGUGGCGAACGCGACUUUCUGGUCUG
rnacentral:rRNA from 1 species